rnacentral:lncRNA from 10 species
CCAAGUCUCCCUGACCUUCGCAUUUCCAUCACCUUUUAAUCUUACUGACUUAUUCACUGAUCUAUACAGCUAGCACCCUGCCGUCGAGAUGGGCAGGGUUUUUUUGAUGGUGGCAUCAGGAGAAAGUCUGCUGUUUGAGGAAAGACCAGAAGCCCGAAGCUUCAGCUGAAGUUUUGGAUCCAACCCAGUGCCUCCCAUUGCAUCCACUCCUCACACCACCGUCUCCAUGGCGUGACAGUUCCUCAGUUUUUCUUUGUUGUUCAUGACCUUCACCUUUUGGAAAGGUACUGGCCAGUCACUUUGCAAAAUGUUCCUCAAUUUGUGUUUGCUUGAUGUUUUCUCCUGAUUAAAGUGAUGCAUUUUGG